rnacentral:rRNA from 1 species
UAAGGUCACGGCAAGACGAGCCGUUUAUCAACACCGAUAGGUGCUAAGUGAAAGUGCAGUAAUGUAUGCAGCUGAGGCAUCCUAACAGACCGAGAGGUUUGAAC